UCUGCCCUUCCACGGGCCUCCUGCCCUGACCCUGUCACCCUCGUCCCGGGCUACAUACGGCGUGACUGACGCAUGCUGGGCCGGCACUGAACAGGACAGCUGAAUGCUGGAGAACACACGGAGUUCAAUUUGUGCUGUUUGUGCACUCAGGAGUGUGGAGCCAUCCAUGGGAGCAUAGUCAACUAACCAGAGGCCACAUCCUUAAAAAAAAAGAGAAAAAGCAUGAAUGUGCCCCUUGAAAAAGCCAUUAACGCCAACAGCUCCUCAGCAAGGGGUUGGGGCUCAUGAUCCCAUUGGCUCCGUGCUGGGAUUUUGACCGGAGUGAUCAUGGGAAGGUGCUGUGUAGGAACCACAGCUGCUGUGAGUUCCUGAACACAGUGUUCCGGAAGAUACCGUUCCUUCUCAGUCUUCCCAGACCUCCGACCUCUACAGUCUCCCCUCUCCUCCUCGAUGCUCCCUGAGCCUUGUCGUGAAGGCCUUGUGUGAUACAGUUGUCUCACUCACAGGUGAGCACGCCGCGGGCAGCCAUCUGACAAAUGGAUUCUACAAAUCUACAAAAGUGGAUUCUACCAAUUCUACAAAAGGCCAUUACCAUCUGAACCAAAAAUUGGGGGUACACCAAAUAAGAAAAAUACACUGAAUUGUGUACAAAAUCCUAUGAAGACUGCCAAAUUAAUAAGAAUGUUUUGUUGUUGUUGUUAACAAACUUUUUUUUCCUUAAGCUUCAUAACUCAGAUCUCUUUGGGGAGUUAAGGACAGAUGGGUGCCUGCAGGGCUGUGUUGUGGGGAUGAACUAUGAGACUGUUUACACUGAUUCCAUGCCUUUCUGAAAAAGCAUGCCUUCUAAAUUGGAUCUGUUUCCCCAUAAAAACACCCAACUGUUUCCUUUGGAAUAAUAAAGAAAAAUAUAUCAUUGUUAAAAUAUUAUACAGAAUGCGGAGAAUGCCUUUUAGAAAGACUGUUUACUCCAGUAGAAAUCAUUAGGAUGAUAUUUUGUUUGUUUUAGUUUUUCCAGAAAGGGUUUGUCCACGUAGCUCUGGAUGUCCUAGAACUCGCUCUGUAGACCAGGCUAGUCUUGAAUUCAGACAUUCUCAGGCCUCUGCCUUCCGAGUGCUGGGAUUACACGCGUGUGCCACCGUAUCCUGUGGCUGUUAUUUUUUUAACACCAGGGUCUUUUGUGUAAAUAAGAUAGUUGAGCACCUUUAUUCAUUAAGCAAUGUUGUUCUUCAGGGAAGUUUGGUACUUUUUCUACUUGUGUUGAAGGGAUUUUUUUUUAACCUAAAAAAGUAUUCUAGCUCGAGUGAUUCAGGGAGGAGUGGCAUUACUGCUUGCUGGUGACAGUUGCUAAUGUUUAUUGGAUACGUGUUGUUGCCAGGGAUUGUCACAGACAAUUUCCCAUCAUCAUUUUGUUCAAUCCUCGUGAACCCUAUAUGCCAGAUGGCACUGCUGUCACUGUUUUACAGAUUAGGAUACAACUUUUGAGAGCUAUAAAUUACCUCCUGAGGUAGUGUAAGAGGUGGGAUUUGAACACAGCAUACUGUUGCUGCUCUCUUAAAAUACAGUAUGGUGAGGGAUGCUUGAAGA